GUACUAUGAUGGUUGCAUAGUUCAGCAGAUUAAGUCAUGAAUACUCGAUUUAUCUGUUGUAUCU
rnacentral:snoRNA from 1 species